AAGGAUAUAUCAAGAAACACAAGAAACUUUAAUUUAAAAACAAACAAGGAAAAUUCAGUGGAUUUUACGUCUACCUGCUGAAUAGGUUGUUUUGCGAAUGAAGGGACCAUCUUUUAAAAGAUAUUUAAUUCCCAGAUAUAGCUCUGGCAGCCACUAAAAAGGGCAUCUGAAACAUUAGAGGACUGUUCUAGGAUGCUACUGACCAAGUUUCGUGCAAUUCUGACCAGCAGUUUCAGAGUUAUCAUCUGAAGAGAAGUAUGGACUGAUGGACAGACACCAGACAAUGAGCGACACUGUGCUCGGGUCCAUUGUGAAACAAGUUCUACAACUGAUAUUAAUCACUCUCGACACCUCAUUCCUGAUGGAAUCCAUCGCCAAGAGAGUAUGAGAAAAGAGGCCAGUUUCCCUUUCAAUGCUGAGCGUCAAGCCAAGGGAGCUACUUUGGUUACAUGGAAAACUUAGAGAGUCUCGUCUCUGAAACUGCUAGCCUGACUUUAAAGCAGUUUCACGGAAAUGUCCCUUUGGCGUCCCUAAACAGAAUUCCUUCAGCUAUGUAAACUUGUUUUUAAAGUUUCAGGCAAGGGCAUGAAUAAAUUUAAUCUAAAUGGCUAUAAUUAUGUAAAACUUUAAAAAUCUUCAAGUCUUGUUUUAAAAUAGUAUCAAACCAAUAAUAAUGCCUUGGAUGACCUUCUAUGCACUUUCUUCAGAUCAUUAUGCAAUGACACAAUUAAAGAUGGCUACCAAUUGGCGGGAUACAUCUUUCUUAUAGGGCUAUAGUUGAAACUUUAGGAAUGUUCUUGUCAGAAACUACUUGCUUCAUUUCAAAAUCAUUUCACUGAAAUGUUCCCCUUCAGUGGCCUUGUAACAAAUUUGUUUUUAAAAGCAUGGCCGUCAGAUGGCAUAGUCCUUUUUUCUUAUUUGCAUGUUGUGGUUGCUAUACAUAUAUUGUGGAAAAUCUUCUACCGGGAGUCUCUCACCAAAUUUUGGGAACUUCUGUCCAAAUCUCUGUUAACUUGUUUGUGAGAAGAAAUUGUUUAAAGAAAUUUAAAAAUGAUGAUAUCUAGGCCUACGUUCAGAUGACUAGAGAGAAUCAAUUUUUUCAAGUGUUCAGAUUAUUACUAAAAUGUAACUGCAAAUUAUU